rnacentral:pre_miRNA from 1 species
UUUGUACUCCCUCCAUCCCAAAAUUCUUGUCUUAGAUUUGUCUAGAUACGGAUGUAUCUAACACUAAAACGUAACUAGAUACAUCCGUAUUUAGACAAAUUUAAGACAAGAAUUUUGGGACGGAGGGAGUAUUAA